AAAGCCUGCCGCUAAUCAUCUUGGGAUGACGGCCCGGCACCCAGCACACAAACAGCGACAGUCCCGAGGGUUCAGCCCACUCUGGCGACCUCGACAGUCGGAGAGGAAGGGGCGGGGGUGCGAGCACCUUCGGAUCUACGCCGCCCAGGGCGCACCGGAAAGCUGCCGCGAGCCGGGGUGGGCUUCCGCUGGGAAUAAGGGCUCGCCUUUUUGCGGGACACAGGCCCUGGCAAACCUGAAGCAUGACUCACCGAAAAGCGCAGGCGCAGUUCCGGAGCCUUCAGCCGCCCAGUGCCCACGGAGAACUUCCGAUCACCGGGACUGGGACAACGUCAAGGCUCAGCCAAUCCAAGCCCACAGGCCGGCGCACGUGGUCCUGGGACCCAGUGCAUGCGCGCUAGGGAAAUGGCUGCCGUGGGACUGCGCUCGCGCGGCUUCCUAGAGGAGGAGCCAUGGCCCCGCCCCGGGCCCGAGAGAAAGAAACUGCACUUUCGUUUUUUAGCAGCAAAGUUUGUUGAUGUACUUUACAACUUAUCUUUUCUGCUUCUACUCAGGACAGUCAAGACAGUGCUCAGCUAGAUGUUCACAUAACUGUAGACAUAAAUGUGAAUCUAUUUAACGCAGUAAUUAAUUCAAAAAGUGUUUUUAGCAUCCUAGCAUGCAUCAGUUGAUAUGAAAGUAGUAAAUGUUAAUUGAGUGGUCUUGUGCAUCCUGGACUUCUCAUCUGUGCAUAUUCUCAUUCUUUGCCUGCAAAGGGCCAGUAAAAGCACAGUGAUGGUUGAACGAAUGUGACAGCCUCCUUUGCUGAUGCCUUACCCCAAGGUAAUUUGGGGAAAGGUUCAGGGAAACAGAGUAUCCAAUCCAAUACUCUGGACUGGGUGCUGGCAGGAAGGAGGGCGAUUGUAUGAUUAAGUAUCAUAAUAAAUCUUACCUAAAAGGAGGG